rnacentral:rRNA from 1 species
UCGACUCUUCCUGGCCUUCAGGUCUAUGUCUUUACAUCUACUCCAUAGAAUGUAAANGAAAGAAACAAUGGCAGCUUUAUUGCAGCCUAUAAAACUUGUACAACUUUCAGCAACGGAUCUCUUGGCUCUCGCAUCGAUGAAGAACGCAGCGAAAUGCGAUAAGUAAUGUGAAUUGCAGAAUUCAGUGAAUCAUCGAAUCUUUGAACGCACCUUGCGCUCCUUGGUAUUCCGAGGAGCAUGCCUGUUUGAGUGUCAUUAAAUUCUCAACCAUCUUUGUCUUUUUGAUAACGGAUGCGUUGGAUGUGGGGACUUGCCAUUUCUUUAAAAGANUUGGCUUCCCUUAAAUGCAUUAGCUAGAGCACUUCUACUAGCUGCUAGUGUGAUAAUUAUCUACACUGCGGCCAACGAAGAAAACUCUGCUUCUAACCGUCUGCUNGCAGACAAUAUCUGACAUCUUGACCUCAAAUCAGGUAGGACUACCCGCUGAACUUAAGCAUAU